rnacentral:snoRNA from 1 species
CAGCAUGUUUCCAAGGACUGUGACUGGUUGUGGCCAGGGAUCGCCAAUUGCAUACAAGAGUAAUGUGAACAAACUUUGAUAGCUCAGGUCAACACAAUAACUUCAGCUGACACUCACCUUUCAUAUAACA